AGCAAACACAUUGCGGUCUUCUGGCCUUAUAAAGUUAUUUUUCACACUUACUAAAAUAGAGGGCAUAAUGGUAGCUCCUGAGAGUCACUUUAGGCCCCUGUAGUGUAUGCUUUGUUAUGCUUAAGAAAAAAAAAUUGUAAUUCUUGAUUUUAGAAGGAUUGAAAUAUGUACAUUUCUUUCUUUAAAAAAGAGCUGAUUUUCCUUGGAUGACACAAUAGACAAUUUUCACUUUUACCUAUUCAUAUAACUGAAAAAAAAAUUCUUUGGGAGUGUUUUUCUUCCUUUGCUACAGAAUUAUUUUUUAUUAAAUAACUUCUGUGAUGUAUUUUCUGGAAUCAGUGUGCUACUAUGUGAAAACAAGUUAAGAAAGCUACUGAGAUGCAGUGGUUAAAAUAAUCACAGAUCAAGCUCUUUGCUUUUCUUUUAAUAAAAUAAAUAAAGUUCCAAACCCUGAGAACAAGUUUCACUGGAGUGAAUACUGCAGGGGCAUUUGCCUGGACAUUUUACCCCAUGGACACCGCUGGCCCCGGGAGCAGGUGACACCUCGCUGGGCAGGUCCCUGGGCCUCUGCACACAGUCCCGGGGCCCCUGGAGCAGGUGACACCUCACCGGGCAGGUCCCUGGGCCUCUGGACACAGUCCCGGGGCCCCUGGAGCAGGUGACACCUCACUGGGCAGGUCCCUGGGCCUCUGCACACAGUCCCGGGGCCCCUGGAGCAGGUGACACUUCGCCGGGCAGGUCCCUGGGCCUCUGGACACAGUCUCGGGGCCCCUGGAGCAGGUGACAGCUCACCGGGCAGGUCCCUGGGCCUCUGCACACAGUCCCGGGGCCCCUGGAGCAGGUGACACCUCGCUGGGCAGGUCCCUGGGCCUCUGCACAUAGUCCCGGGGCCCCUGGAGCAGGUGACACCUUGCCGGGCAGGUCCCUGGGUCUCUGGACACAGUCUUGGGGCCCCUGGAGCAGGUGACACCUCACUGGGCAGGUCCCUGGGCCUCUGCACAUAGUCCCGGAGCCCCUGGAGCAGGUGACACCUUGCCGGGCAGGUCCCUGGGUCUCUGGACACAGUCUUGGGGCCAUGGCACAGCACUGGCACCUCUGCCCUCACCAGCCUUUCCCAGGACUGGAGGCCUUGUCUGUCGUUCAGGGUCACAGAAUCUGGAGUCCUCGCUGUUCCCAGCCACACCCAGCCCAGCCUCCUGCUGGGGGCCACAUUUUACCCCAAUUUUUCUGCAUCUCAGGACUUCACAACCAUAUUAGGAGUGGCAGUGAAGUCCAUAACAGACUCGUAGGCUCCUUAAAAAAACUCUCCCUCCACAGCCCCCAGGACUUCCUGGUCACUGCCCGCUCUGAGAUCAGGGAAGCCGUGGGGCCUCUCCCUGCCAGCUUCCAUCCAUGCCCCAAGGAUGGGCUACUCACCCCUAAUUCCUGUCCCUCCCCUGCAAAUGGAGAACACUGGAAAAUUACUCAUCGCAGUCAUUAUUUGUGAGCAAGAAUGAGAUACUUCAUUUAAAGCGGUGAAUGCAGUACCUCGGCAAUCACCAAAAAACAAAAAAUAAAAAUGGAGUCACAAUAUAAAGAACCUCAGGAAAAAGUGAUUUUGCAUCUUCCCAGAAUAAAUCAGUCACUCUAUCACCUGGAACAUGCUAGAUGUUCAGCCAAUGGUUUGUAAAUUAAUUACUUUGUUAUUUUAUUUCAUAUUUAGUAGGACCUGGUUGUAUAAAACCAGAGUAAAACAUGUUAGAAGUCAAGAGCUAGUUCUGAGCAAGUUGUGAUACAUGAGAGCUAUUCAACAAAAUAUUUAAAACUUUGUAACAUGUUUUUUAAUUUUAAAAAUCACAUUUAAAAAGCCAUCAGGAAUGCAGUAGCCACAGCUUUUGCUAAAACAGUUUUUAAAAAUUAUUUUUCCAUAUCUGGGAGAUUUGACCUUUUCGUUUUGCUUAAACUUUUGGUUGACACAUCACGAGUGCACAGGACAGCAGCUGACAACUGCCCCGCGUGCUGGGCACAUGCUUCUGCCUGCUCCAAUAUUUCAAAGCUGACUUAUUGUUUGCUUGAAAUGUGAAUGAGUUACUGAAAAAAUAUUAUGUGUCUCACAGUAUUUCUAUUUUACAGCCUUUAAUAGUUGUUUUGCAGCUUUAAAUCUGUUUGGAAAAUGAUGCCCAAUGACUGUGUGUGGGUUUAUGUCACCUGUGCUCACAGACAUGUGAAGCAAAAACCUUGGCCUGCUCCCCAGCCUCUGUGCAGGACAAGCCAAAGAGCAGGCAGCGGCAGGGCCAAGAGGAUCCAGGCUCCCCCUGGACCACACACGGUCACCGUAAGCACAUGGUGCUCCGGGGGGUCCUGCUUGGUGGGUGGCUCACCCUUAUGUGUCAGGCACCCAUUUUAUAGAUCAAAACGUAGAGGUCUGGAAGUCUCAGAAGCAGCAAGGCUGUGGCCGCUCAGUCUCACAGUCUCACGUCCCAGGUCUUUACAGAGAACCAACACACAUCCUCAUACUUGAAGCUCGAUGAUAAGUACUCAGCGAAAAGUAUCAGGCCAGUGCCGUGACUCACAUCUGCAAUCCCAACACAGUAUCAUCAGGCCAGUGCCGUGACUCACAUCUGCAAUCCCAACACAGUAUCAGGCCAGUGCCGUGACUCACAUCUGCAAUCCCAACACAGUAUCAUCAGGCCAGUGCCGUGACUCACAUCUGCAAUCCCAACACAGUAUCAGGCCAGUGCCGUGACUCACAUCUGCAAUCCCAACACAGUAUCAGGCCAGUGCCGUGACUCACAUCUGCAAUCCCAACACAGUAUCAUCAGGCCAGUGCCGUGACUCACAUCUGCAGUCCCAACACAGUAUCAGGCCAGUGCCGUGACUCACAUCUGCAAUCCCAACACAGUAUCAGGCCAGUGCCGUGACUCACAUCUGCAAUCCCAACACAGUAUCAUCAGGCCAGUGCCGUGACUCACAUCUGCAAUCCCAACACAGUAUCAGGCCAGUGCCGUGACUCACAUCUGCAAU
rnacentral:lncRNA from 1 species